UACGAAGGGGGCUAGCGUUGCUCGGAAUUACUGGGCGUAAAGGGCUCGUAGGCGGCCAACUAAGUCAGACGUGAAAUCCCUCAGCUUAACUGGGGAACUGCGUCUGAUACUGGAUGGCUUGGAUUCGGGAGAGGAAUGCGGAAUUCCAGGUGUAGCGGUGAAAUGCGUAGAUAUCUGGAGGAACACCGGUGGCGAAGGCGGCAUUCUGGACCGAUAUUGACGCUGAGGCACGAAAGCGUGGGGAGCAAACAGG
rnacentral:rRNA from 1 species